GCAAAGACAGAAGCCACCCUGUAGCGGUCCACCUUGACUUUCGGGGAAGAUAAAGCAGGAGCAGACAGACGGCCAGAGGCGCACAUCACAGUGCAGGUCCCUGUGCCUUCUUCCGGGCACGAAGACACAGCAGCAGCGACGUCUACCAGCCCCCUCUCCCCGCCACCAUCGAGAAGAUGAAAGCCACCUGGCUGAAGAAGCAGAAGGCGUUUGCCCUCAUCACGGAG
rnacentral:lncRNA from 1 species